rnacentral:rRNA from 1 species
UACGUAGGGCGCAAGCGUUAUCCGGAAUUAUUGGGCGUAAAGAGCUCGUAGGCGGUUUGUCGCGUCUGCCGUGAAGGUCCGGGGCUCAACUCCGGAUCUGCGGUGGGUACGGGCAGACUAGAGUGAUGUAGGGGAGACUGGAAUUCCUGGUGUAGCGGUGAAAUGCGCAGAUAUCAGGAGGAACACCGAUGGCGAAGGCAGGUCUCUGGGCAUUAACUGACGCUGAGGAGCGAAAGCAUGGGGAGCGAACGGG